AAUGUGUCUGAAGCACUGAAGACAAUGGCUAAUAUCCAGGAGGCACUCGGUAGAAAUAUUUGUUGAGUUAAUAAAUAUAAGUUGGGACGAGUUGCUGCACUUCUCUGGGCCCCUGUAUCUGUGAAUUAGGGAUUACAAUCUGUCCCUGGAGCAGUGGGUGUUAGGGUGGGAAUCAUGUUAGAUAACGAUUGUUACCACCCUUCAUACAUCAUAAGGUAUUAUGCAAGUAAGAGAGGGUGGCGGAAAACUGAUCUUCACUGAGUACUCUUGAUGUCAGAUACUUUCCAUAAUGUAUCUCAUUUCAUUAUUGCCAUUUUACAGAUGAGGAGACUGAGGCUCAGAAAGGUGAAUUAACUUGUCCUGACAUCACAGUGUGGAACAUAAUACAACUGGAUCUAAGCUUAAGCAAACACGUGAUGAGGGAACAAGUAAACAGGCAGACAAAAUCGUUACUGGAGUAGGAGGCUGUGGACAUCUGAAGAAAUACCACAGAGGAAGCCUAUACUGCCAUCUUUUUCUCAUUUUUUCUGACAGGAUCUAUAUCAAUUCCUUUUUUCCAUUCCUUAAUUCUAUUAUUUUUAACUACAUAAGACAUUUUGUUACAGGAAAACCAGAAAACCCGAAAACCCAGAAGAAAAUGAAAAUCAUUCACAUUCCCUCCUUUCAGAGAAGGCUAUGACUAUUACAUUUUCAUUGCUUUUUUCCCAUCAACUUUCACAUGCACCAACAUAUAGAGAGUAUUGUUUUUAAUAUUAUUUUACAGAAAUGGUAUCAAACUUGGUGUAUUUCCUCCUCUUUAUUAGUACAUAUCACGAGUGUCUUUCCUUGCUAAUAAAUAUGGAUUGAGUUAAUGUUUAA